rnacentral:lncRNA from 1 species
AAGCUCAAGAGCAUAGGGGGCAAUUUCGAAUAAGGGAAAAGAGAAAGCAAUCGAGUAGCCUAUCUGCAGUUGUUCAAAUAAAUCCAAGGUAAGUCUUUGAGUAAUGGAACUUAGCUUAUGAUUUGAUUAAACAAUGUUAUAUAUUUAUAUAUAUAGCACAAUAAUAAGUUGUGACCUGAUGGUUUCUCUUGAUUUACAUAUUGAAAUAAAUGGGUAGUGCAUCGGCUUGUAGUUGAAUGGUUAUAGAAAAUCAUGUAGAGUAGCGAAACGGAAUCGUGUUAUUUGUAUGAGCUUUUGAGCCGAAAAUGGAAUGAUGGAUAAUUAUGUUGUGUUUGUGAUCUAAUAAUGUAAAUAAAUUGUUAAUGAUUUAUAAUAUAAAUAUAUUUUGUGCAUGACAAUUGAGGAUUAUAUCCGGGUUAAGUCCCGAAGGCAUUCAUGCUGGUUGUUAUUUCUGGGUUAAGUCCCGAAGGCAUUCGUGCUGGUUGUUAUUCCCGGGUUAAGUCCCAAAGGCAUUCGUGCUGGUUGUUAUUUCCAGGUUAAGUCCCGAAGGCAUUCAUGCUGGUUGCUAUUUCCGGGUUAAGUCCCAAAGGCAUUUGUGCUGGUUGUUACAUCCGGGCUAAAUCCCGAAGGUAAUUGGGUUGGAAAUGUGCGAUCUUGUCGUAAUAAUUUCUAUUGAUGGGCUUACAACCCUAAGAUGAUCAGGUAUGCACCGUAUAUACAUUGAAAUUAAGUUAAGAUUGACUAUGAGCAUGUAAGUAUAUAGAUUGAAGUGUGAAGUAACAUAAGUAUGUGAUUUUUGCGUAUUUGCAUUUAUUUAGCCUUGUAAUCGAAUUAGAUGUAUUCGACAUAAUUAUGAGGUUAGUUGGGUAAAAAGAGAUUAUCUACAUACGAAUUCAUGUUUAAGGAAAAAUUUAAGAUGACAUGUAUGAACAAUAGGGGUAUAUUUAAUCAUGACUACAUUUAGUCAGAAAGAUGAUGAGCCUUAUGAAUGCUAUGCUUUAGUUAUAAAUGAUUUCAUUACUUAAGACUUACUAAGCAUCGAAAUGCUUACUCUUUUUGCCUUCAUUCCCUGUUUUAUAGAUUUUGUUCGUGAACUAUCGGACUCGGGAGAUCCAAAGUCGAAGUCAUCCACACUAUCUAAACCUUUCGGUACUCUUGUAAAUGAACCUUGAUAAUGGCAUGUAUAGGAUUGACUUUUGAUGUUAAUUACGUAUCUUUUUGGUGAUGUAUAUAUGUAUAGCCAUGCGAAAAUGGCUUGUUAAGUUAUUAUAUGCGCUCCACAAAAUUAAUGUGUAUGUAUGGAUGAUAAUCGAUUAAUGUUUUAAAUGUUU